rnacentral:rRNA from 1 species
GACGUAGGGGGCCAGCGUUGUCCGGAUUUAUUGGGCGUAAAGAGCUCGUAGGCGGUUUGUCGCGUCUUCCGUGAAAACUCGGGGCUUAACCCCGAGCCUGCAGUGGAUACGGGCAGACUAGAGGUAGGUAGGGGAGAAUGGAAUUCCCGGUGUAGCGGUGAAAUGCGCAGAUAUCGGGAGGAACACCGGUGGCGAAGGCGGCGAACCUGGGUCGAGACUGACGCUGAGGCGCGAAAGCGUGGGGAGCAAACAGG